GAUGGGGAUGAAGAUGAGGAUGGUGAUGGGGAUCCCGAUGCUCCUCCUGCUCCCGCGGCUCCUCUCCUCCUCACCUCCGCCUCCUCCACCUCCGCCUCGCAUCGCUGGCCUCAGCCGCCGCCGACCAGCACAGAAAAGAUCACCAGCUUAUCACAAAGGCUUCACCUAAGAUACAUCAGCAACACGCUAACAUUUUAAGUGUUUGAGAUCUGUCUUACUUUAGGCAACAGCACAGCCUGGAUAUUAGGUACGACAUACCCUUGAGCAGUGGUGACUUUCCCAGCAGUUUGGUGAGACGCUUGCUGCUGCAGAUGAUGGGGGAUAAGCCUUGCUUCUUGUCCUGACCGGUAUUCCCAGCCAGCUGAAGAAUUUCAGACAUCAGGUGCAACAGA